UGAAAAAGAUGCGUUUGAUGGCAUAAGUAAUGAGGUGAUGCAUCAAUUUAAGAAAAAGAAAACUCGGCGUGGACAAAAGUAAAAGGUGUAGAUCUUUGCUACAUUGUUGUUAAAGCAAUAGUAUUAAUGUCUUUGCUUUUGUUUUUACGUGAAAUUUGACACAAGUUUAAUGUUGAUGUGAUUUUGAAUAUAUAAAAUUACAAUGUUUGAUAUGAAUGUUGAUUUUGAUAAGUUGUGUAUAACUAAAAAUAUUAUAUCAUGACAUCAAUAAUGACUUGUUUAAUGACCCUUUUGAAUGAAAUUCAUAGCUACGCCAUUGAAUGCAUUCAUACUUGCCUUGUAUUGUUAUACUUUUUGUAUAAUAAAUUUUUCUUUACCCCUUGGGGCAUACAUAUUUGGUGGAUGAGACUUCUUGUGCAUUUUCCCCUAAUGUACUUCAUUGUUUUACCCAGAUGGUUAUAUCCCUUGGUGCGGGUCCAUGGGAUGCUCUAUUUGGUGGAGGAAAUAUACCUGCAUUUGUUUUGGCUUCCUUGAGUGCCUUUGCAGCUGGGGUUAUUGCAACUCUUAAGCUGCCAGACCUUUCGAACAAUUUCAAACCAUCUGGUUUCCAUUUUGGCUGACUUGCUUUCUCCGUGAGAUGACCAACUUGUAUAUGAUCCUCUACCAUGAGAACAAAUCCAGGCGAUUUACUUUCCAGAGAAAUGGCUGCUACGAGAGAGGAAUUGGGAGGUGUCACCUGUUCUCUCUGAUGGAAGCCUCUGUUCGUCAUUAUCGAAGACUCUCUAUGUUUGGUUCUCACCUUCUCAACUGUGGCAGUUUCUUUGUAGAUCUGUCGAGUUUUUUUUAUGAGUACUUAGAACUACAACAAAUAUCCAACCUUAGCACGAGAUCUUUUAUUUUCAAAUCUCUCAAUUUUAGCGUCUUUAAUGCACUCUUAAUCAUUGAAUUAUGUCUUGAAUUUUACAUAUUUUAAGAUUUUUGCACAACUCAAUGGUAAAGAAUAUAUAUAUAUAUAUAUAUAAAGGAAUUUAAUAGCAUGA